UCUUAUGUCCCCUCCGUUACUGUUAAACCACUCGACUUUUCCGCCUUCUUGAUGCAGUUCUUCCCCAUCCACCUAUUCAAAAUAAUGAAACUUUUAAGACGCGUGUUUGUAGUAGGAACUUGGUACAAGCUCAAUUUUUACACGUUUAGAUUAGAGGAGAUAAACAAAUAACCGAAUAUAUAUGAAACCCACAGAUGGUUAUCCUUUUUAUGGUUACUUCCUGACCUACCAUUUUGUUACAAUGCAGAUCAGAUUCCAUUUUAGUAUUCAGCUGCAGCAAUAUAUGUUCAAUUAAAGGUGGACAAUGCUUUAUUACGAAUAUAGUGUUGUAAUCUCCAUUUCGUGUCAAAUACUUACAUUGGAUAUGGUUUUAGUUGGUGAUAGCUCCACAACAAUGUCCCCCGCGUCAUAAUCUUGGCGACACUUAUUAACUCCAUUGUCCGGGGAUGGUUCGUUCAUGCCACAGUCGUAAUUAUCGGUUACCCACCCAUUAAUAUGACUACGGGUUGUAUCCUACAGUCAAAUAUAUAAAGUGUAUAUGAUAGGUGCAUAAGCAAAAACACCCUCAUUAAUUUGAUUGAGUCGCAUUCUAAAGAGGAUCUUGUUGUCCAUUACCUGGCCUCCAACUGAAGAAUCACCACUGACAGAGUGUUGACCAUCUAUGACAUCCUUCGAACCAUCAGUAUUCCGAUCACCCUGUGCACACCACGAUAGCAACAUAAUUUAAUAUAUGUAAGUAGUGAAAAAAUUACAACCCUUAAGCUAUUUGUCAUAUCAACCUUAGCAGUGUCAGCGCAUCCCCUGUUUCUGACCUUCUCUCCCAUUUUUUCCAUAAUCAUUACUGAACUCAUUCUUCGAAACAUUUUAGUUUUCCCUCUUCUUUUUUUUGAAUACUUCUUCUCUGAAACUGUAUGCGAAGCAUAAGAAGGUUCCCCAUAUUCAUUUCUUUUAACCUCCAAUAGUGCAGCUCUUAUCUCCUUGCGGAUCUCUGUACGUACGAAAAUCUCCAUGUUUGCCUGAUUUUCCUUUAUCAGUGCUUCUUGUUUCCUGUAGAAUCGGCUUAGUUCCGCUGCAUACCUUUCAAAUUGGUCAUCGUCCAAACGUUCAUCAACAACGGGCGUACCCCCCGGUCGCACAUCAUGUCUCCUUGUGCUCUUCUCUUUCUUAUUGUCAAUUAUUGCGGUGUCUGCUCUUUUCCUCUUUCGACAGACAACUGUAACUAUAUCACCAAUUAACCAUUAAUUUAAAAAAAUUAAAUUUAAAAUGAAGCCCUUUGUAAUGUAUAAAUGUCAACAAACCUUUCUCUUCGGGACGUAUCUGUUUUGGACACCUAUCAUCACUUCCCAUCCAUAUUGCCUCAUCCCAUUUGUGGCCAGCUUUAAUAAGAUUUUCAAUGUUGUCAACUUGAUGGUCUUCUUCUUCGUCACGCCACGCCAAUUCUCCACUAUCACAAUGCUCCCCACUACCAACCAUCCGUCUAAUAACCAUCUAUAAGAUGAUUACAAAAAUAUAUACAUUUUACGAAACUUAUAGUUUCAAGUCGUUUACGUAUUAUAUCAACCAAGUACAUACCUCUUUAGCAGCCUCACAUGCGAAGAUGUCUGCUGUCUUGAUUGGGUGCAGUUUAGCUAGAUUGUGGAUCGAUCUUUGAUUAAACGCCUGAUCUUAAACGUCAGAUGGUACUAAUCUUGCAAGUGCUGGGACAGAUUGAAAAGCCAGCAGCUGGAGUGCUAGAGAAAAUCCAUGAACAGCGACUGAUUGUUGCUUGAAAAUAUUCACUAAACUGUCUACGUUUGCUGGACAUUUAAAUCCUGUAAUAGUCUCCAGCGUCCGUUCAAAUGACAACCUUCCCCAUGAAUAUUGGAAAAAAAGCAAUAUUCUUGGUCAUCUCCACUGUCUUCAGAUCUGGUUUUACUGGUUGCGUGAUGCAUGUUAGAACUCCAUCAACUAUUAUUAUCAUCGCUAAAGCUAGUUUCUGCCACGUUUCCAUUUCCUCAGUCUCCAACCUUUUUACCAACUCGGAGAUCGUUGGUUCUUUGUUUUCCCCGAAUAGUACAUCCCAAACAGUCUUACAUCCUUUAUCCGUUUUUGUAGCUCUUUUCACAUCUCUUUUUUUUGGAUAAUUUCCACAUUCGAGACCUGUCAACUCUACAAAUUCCUGUAAUCCAAACUUGAUUGGAUUGCCACCAAACACAAUCCACAUCUCAUGCCGCUUUUUGGUCACCAAUUGACGGCAAACAAAUCCAUGAACUAGUUUACCGGAGAACGAGGUCUUGUUCGCAGGGAUACGAAAAAGCUGCCCAAAUGGAGACUUUAACAAGUUUUCCAUUUCUUUUGUUCCACUCAGCACCGUCGAUAUUGUAGAAAGAUAUUCCGGUUUUGAAUACGCAUUGAUCUUGGUUUUGAGAGGGUAAUGGUCAAGAGCAAAUAACCUCCUCGGUAGAUCCAAGCUCAACUGAGGAACGACCUCUACUUCUUUGGGAUCCAUCCUAUCACCAAGAAGUAACGUACAUAUUAGUAUGUACGUACACUAAGCCAAUGAACCCAAAUACCAAUGUCUACCAAAGUUCAAUUCUGUUGACGAUUAGGGUUAUUUAUCCUCUGCCCGCCACAAAUACACAACUAUUCAUCGAUUUCAUGACCUGAGCUACUCAAAUUGAUUCUUAAAUGUAUUUGCUAGAUACUCUUCCAACCUAAUAUAGAAUUUGGGGGAACAAUCUCUCUUCCAAUUUAAAGGAAGAAGUCAAGAGAAACACUUACCUUUCUGAAUCAACACCGGUGAUGAAAGAGGAAUCAAAACUAGUCGCCUUUUUCUGAUUUCACCUGACCUCCGUAAUCUCUUUUUCCUUAAAUGUCCCGUCGCCGACUUCUAUUCUCGCUCCUCUUGUAGAACUUAUCCCAGAUCUAAACACCUUAAUUAAUCAACUCGGGAUGGAAACAACCCUAUCGGACAUCCAAAUGCGCCGUCGCAACUGAGGCCUCAGUUUUCCGUCUCUUACCAAGAACAAAGAUUUUGCUCUACUACUAAACAAUUUUAAAAUAUUUUUUUUUAAAACAGUGCAACGGUUGAGCUUUUCUUUAAUAUUUUUAUUCAAAUUAUACAGUUCUUCAACGUUAUUGGUUCAUUUACACUAUAUAUCAGCCUUUAUUAGUGAGGUUAAACCAUCAUUCACUAUUCCUUGAUGUUUUAUAAAGUUUUACAUUGAAUUGGUUUGUUAAAUUAACCAAUCUACUUUUUGCCAAUAUAUAACGUCGACUAUAAGGUCAUAAUUAAGUAGUGCAUGCGAUGUAUCGUCCUCGCUUAACCGGCAGUUACACGUGUUAAUUAUCUAAAUGCGAUGUAUCUGUAUGGAAUGCAGUCACGACGUUUCGAAAAGCCACAAUAUGGAUAAUCCAUUUGUGUUUGCUUGCUGCUUAUAUAAGAAGACAAAUACACACCCGGUGAAGUAUGUAUUCGUCUCUCAAAACCAAAAUAUCACCCGCAAAUUAAACAUAAGUGCAACAAAGUUAUGGUGCAUUUCGACAGGCUAUCCGAUCUCCAGACGUGGCGUUCUGAUUGGAAGGUUUCUGUUAAGAUCAUCCGCAAGUGGAGAAAGAGAGAAGCGAACAUCGUCACCUUUGAAAUGGUUGUUUCGGAUGCUUUCGUAAGUGACUCGUCUCAUCAUCAUAUUAUAUGCACUUAAUAUUAAAUGAUUCAUACAUCAUGGUUGAACUUUUUCCCGCACCGUAGGGAGAUAAGAUGCAGGCAACAAUCAGCGAGGACCUGUUGCCCCAGUUCUGUACGGGGAUUGAGGAGGGUUUGUGGAAAACCUUAUCAAAUUUUGUCGUCACUGACGACACAUCCGCUGUGAAGGUCGUGGCUUCCAACUACCGGAUUAAAUUCACUGCUGACAUGGUUGUGGACAACAUUCGUUGCUUGUCGACCAAUCACUACAUCGACUACAUCCCAUUCGACAAAAUUUACGAACGAUGGUCUCCUUGGACCCAGAACUGCUGCUUUGCAUUCUGUUGUUCCAUUUUUUAAUAUCAUAUCCAGUACCAUAAUUCUAAUGACAUGACACCAUAGACACGAUGGGGCAAGUUACUCACGUCGAACGAAGAAUAUUGGUGGACGAUCCAACUGCUCCACGGUUUGCCGAGAGAACCCGGUUGAUACGGUUUUCAUUGAUGAAUUUUGAGGGUCAUCACUUGCAAUGUGUGGGUUAUGAUGAAAUGGUCGAUGAUUUCGCCCGCAAUUUUUGGCUAUGCAGAGGCAACCUAGUUGUAGUCUUGCAAUUUUGGAGGGCCAAGUUUAAGGAUGGAGGAGGGAUGGAAGUGGUUAGUCAACCGGGUGUCUCUAAAGUGAUAUUUGAACCACCCUUCCCUGAGGUUAGAUAUUUCAAACUCUGGUUGGAAUACUUCGACCAGCGCGAGCGGACUAACGACGAUUCGUAGCCUAUGUUUCCAUUUGUCAAUGUUGCUUACAUUCCAUACUUUUAAACCACGUCGCUGAACUCUUUAUAUUAUCUUCAUUACCUACAUCCCAACAAUCUAUCUUACGUGGAUAGGAAUAAUUUGAUGUAAAAUGUUUGUGUGUAUUACGCAUGGUUAAUUAUAUAUUUUUAUUUUUAUUUGGUAAGCAUCUUCCUAAUACUACCAACCUUUAAUGUUAGACGUAUGUGUACAUUUGUGUACAAAUGUUUAUGUUUAAUUUCAAGGGUUUGAUCGAUAAUAAUAACACGACAACGUUUCAAACAGUCCUUUUUUUUUUACGAAAAAAAAAUGUGACUAAACCAAAUAUAACGUUUAAAACUUUAUGUUAAACAAUUAAACCACAACCUAAAGUACUACUAAUAAAACGACCAAACUACUUGAAAAAAUAGGUCAUUGUGCUAGUAUAACCAAAGUCGCAACAAACACAUUGGUCAGUUUUAAUUCCAUAGUUAAUCCAUCACUCUUGUACGC